rfam:Oryza glumipatula chromosome 8, whole genome shotgun sequence.
AAUAAAUGCAGUUUUGCACGGUUCACGUCCAACGUUUAACCUUUUGUCUUAUUUGAAAUUUUUUUAUGAUUAGUAUUUUUGUUGUUAUUAGAUGAUAAAACAUGAAUAAUAUUUUACAUUUGACUAAUUUAUUUUAACUUGUUCAUGAACUUUUCAAAGACGGACGUUCAAAAGUUCGACACGGAUUUUCACGGUUACACUUAUU